rfam:Mesocricetus auratus contig100941, whole genome shotgun sequence.
CUACAAGUAAUAAAUGUAAUUCAAUCUGCAAGAAUUUUUGAGGACUGAUAGGCACUGGAUACAGCAGCAUCCUGCUGGUGGUGCAUACAGCCUGCUGUUUUAUGAGCUUCCAUAAGGGACCUUAGAGACAGCA